UACGAAGGGGGCUAGCGUUGUUCGGAAUCACUGGGCGUAAAGCGCGCGUAGGCGGUCUAUCAAGUCAGAGGUGAAAAUGCCGGGGGCUCAACCCCCGGAACUGCCUUUGAAACUGAUAGACUGGAAUCUUGGAGGGGUAGUGGAAUUCCUAGUGUAGAGGUGAAAUUCGUAGAUACUAGGAGGAACACCGGUGGCGAAGGCGGCUACCUGGACAAGUAUUGACGCUGAGGCGCGAAAGCGUGGGGAGCAACAGG
rnacentral:rRNA from 1 species